CCGGGAGGGGUCACACGGACCGCCAGGGCCGGGCCCGGCCGUGAGGGGAGCGCGGGGGAAAGAGGCCGCGGGGCGGCCUGGUACGGGAGAAGGGAAAGAAAUAAUGAGCGAAUGUUUUAUAUGUACUUAAAAUUUUGAGGUUUCUCAUUGUGAUGUUUUGCGGUCCUGCCUCAGGAGAGCCUCUGGAAAUGGAAAUGGAGAUCCCCGGCGGCACCUGCGAAGUUCUCUGUUGUUCCUCCUCCAUCCAGAGCCACCCGCUGGGCAAGCUGCAGGGUGGAACGCUGCUGCUCCAUGGAUUUAUUUGGGAAUUAGAUUCAGUCUGCAGAACUGGGAUUUUAAGGAGAGAGACUGGCAAAAGAAUCAGGCUCAUCUGAUCUGCACAGGGAAAAAUGUCAACCUGAAGGGAAGUGUCUUCUAGAACAAAAUCUACAUUUCCAGAGAACUUCCUUAAACUGAAACAAGCUGCAAGAUGGGCUCAUUUCUUACAAUGUAAACUUGGAUGAGAUGUUCUUAUUAUGCUUUCACUGAUGCAAAUUCGUUAAAUAGCAAUGAUAAUAAAUCUUGAGAGAUUACGUGUAUAACAGAA